rnacentral:rRNA from 1 species
GAUGAACGCUGGCGGCGCGCCUAACACAUGCAAGUCGAACGAUUAAAGCACCUUCGGGUGUGUAUAAAGUGGCGAACGGCUGAGUAACACGUGGGCAACCUGCCCCUUUCAUUGGGAUAGCCACGGGAAACCGUGGAUAAUACCGAAUACUUCGAGACUUCCGCAUGGAAGACUCGAGAAAGCUCCGGCGGAGAGGGAUGGGCCCGCGGCCUGUUAGCUUGUUGGUGGGGUAACGGCCUACCAAGGCAAUGAUGGGUAGCUGGGUUGAGAGACCGACCAGCCAGAUUGGGACUGAGACACGGCCCAGACUCCUACGGGAGGCAGCAGUGGGGAAUCUUGCACAAUGGGCGAAAGCCUGAUGCAGCGACGCCGCGUGCGGGAUGAAGGCCUUCGGGUUGUAAACCGCUUUCAGCAGGGACGAGGCGAAAGUGACGGUACCUGCAGAAGAAGCCGCGGCGAACUACGU